GACGUAGGGCGCAAGCGUUGUCCGGAAUUAUUGGGCGUAAAGAGCUCGUAGGCGGCUUGUCGCGUCGACUGUGAAAACCCGUGGCUCAACCAUGCGGUCUGCAGUCGAUACGGGCAGGCUAGAAUCGGUAGGGGAGACUGGAAUUCCUGGUGAGCGGUGGAAUGCGCAGAUAUCAGGAGGAACACCGAUGGCGAAGGCAGUUCUGCUGGGCCGUGAACUGACGCUGAGGAGCGAAAGCGUGGGGAGCGAACAGG
rnacentral:rRNA from 1 species